CUGGGCUCCAUUCCGACGUGCGCGGAGGUGGAGAUGAAGACCUAAUAGGAUGCGUUAACCUAAUGCUACAUAAAGAAUUACCCCAAAACUCAGUGUCUUAAAACAGUGAACAUUAUCUUCUCACAGCUUUUGUGGGCCAGGACUUGGAAGCGGCUGAGCUGGGUGCCUGGCUCACGGCCUCUUGAGGCGACGGUCGGGGUAUUGGCCAGGGUCGCAGUCACACAGUCAUCUGAAGGCUUCACCGGCCUGGCGGUCCUCUUCCACGGGGGCUCGCUCGCGUGCCUCACGAGUUGGUGUUGGCUGCUGGCAGGGGGCCCCCGUCCUCUCCCAAUGAGCCUUUCCACCAGCCACUUGAAUGUCCUCUUGACAUGGAGGCUGGCUUCCCCUGAGAGAGAGAUCAAGAGAGACCAAGACUGAAGCCAAAACAUUUUUCAUGACCCAGCCUCAAAAGUCACUCUCCAUCAUUUCUGCAACGUCCUGUUGGUUACACAGGUCAACUCUAUUCAACAUGGAUGGGAACUACAAAAAGGCUUGAAUACCCAAAGGCCAGACUCACUGAGGGCCAUCUCGGAGGUCGGCUGCCGCUUGAGAGAAUGUCAGAUCCCGACAGGUUCUUCAUCAUCCGGUCCAGCUUGCCCUGAGGUGCCCGCCCGUGUCAUCUCAGCUCUGCUGAGCCCUCCGUCCUCGGGCCCCUCAUCCGGCGCCGAGGCGUACAGUGUCUCCUGUGCCUUAACGCCAAGAGGGACGGCCGUUUGUAAGUCCUUUCAUAGCCUCCGCUACACCAAAGGCAGGGCUGAAAGCACACAUGGGGCCCAGAAGUUCUCGUCGAAUAACAAAAUAGUGACUUUUGUCUCUUCAGAUGUCACGUGAGAGUUUCAGGAUUCCAUACUUUCCCAGGAGUUUUCCUUGUUAUCUUACAAAUGUUUUCACCGUUAUCAAAAUUCCUUCAGUUGUUUGUAACUUUAAAGUCCCAUCAGGACCUGCGUUCCAAGACUUUAAACUACUGAAGCCUAACGUUGUAUUUAAUGAGGAGCAAAACCAAGUUAAUUCCCAUUCACAGAUGACAAGUGAACAGUUGGCAGCAAUUUCAACAUCUGCUUUUAAUUCAUUUAAGUGUGAUCAAAUGGUGAUUAAAAAAAGUGCUGGAAACUCUAAUAUUUCUCCAUUAUCCUUCGAGUAGUUGUCUCUGCUAACUGAAGUUGACUCUUGAUGGUUGUGUAGAUGGACCCAAAGUAAACACUGGGACAGAGAGUGCUCCGUUUUUGUGCCUUCAUGUGGGAGCCUGUUUCACCCUUUCUUCAUUCCAAGUUCAUUCCCAAAUGUUCCAGACAAAAGGCUCUUGUUAGGGUUGAGUCACUGCUGGUUUGAAACGGGGAUAGUAACCAACAUGUUAGUUGGAACUAGCCUUAGAUUUAAAAACUUCUUGCC
rnacentral:lncRNA from 1 species